ensembl:snoRNA U3 Small nucleolar RNA U3
AAGACUAUACUCUCAGGGAUCGUUUCUAUAGUUCAUUGCUAGAGAAGUUUCUCUGACUGUGUAGAGUACCAGAAACCACAAGGAGGAGAGGUAGCAUUCUUUCCCAAGCAUGAAGCCAGCUGUUGGUGUUGCUUCACUGCAACUGCCUUCUGCCAUUGAUGAUCAUUCUGUUCUCUUUCGGGAGAGAGACAUGAUGCAGUCUGAGUGGU